rnacentral:tRNA from 1 species
CCUGGUGGCUCAGACAGUAAAGCGUCUGCCUCCAACGCAGGAGACCCAGGUUCAGUCCCUGGGUCAGGA